CGCAUCUGUGCAUGCAGCAUAUCAAUAGCGGAGGAAAAGAAACUAACAAGGAUUCCCUUAGUAACGGCGAGUGAAGCGGGAAGAGCUCAAAUUUGAAAUCUUCAAGGUUUUACCUUGACGAAUUGUAGUUUAAAGAAGUGUUUUCUGUUGAAGUUUUGGUAAAAGUUCUUUGGAAUAGGACAUCAUAGAGGGUGAGAAUCCCGUAUUUGACCAUUAUUUUCAGCUGUGUGAUACACUUUCAAAGAGUCGGAUUGUUUGGGAAUGCAGUCCAAAAUGGGUGGUAAAUUUCAUCUAAAGCUAAAUAUUGGCGAGAGACCGAUAGCGAACAAGUACCGUGAGGGAAAGAUGAAAAGAACUUUGAAAAGAGAGUUAAACAGUACGUGAAAUUGUCAAAAGGGAAGCGUUUGACACCAGUGUUGUUUUCUCGAAAAUCAAUUAAAAGGAGUUUAGAUUUUGUUGUGUAUUGACCUUAACAGCUUGCAUUUCAAUUUUCUUGCUUUUUUUAAUGCACUUUUCGUUUAACAAGUCAACAUCAGUUUCUUUUGUUGUAAAAAGGUCAUUGGAAGGUGACUUUCUUUUCGGAGAAAGUGUUUAUAGCCUUUGACUCCUGCAAUCGGAGAGACUGAGGUCUGCAGCGUAGAUCCUUCGGGGUUAGAUACAUUUGUGCUAAGUUAUAGCUUUUUAUAGACAACUUGUUGACUAUGAUUAGUCUUGUAGCUUACUCGCUUAUGCUAUUUUACCUACGCUUAGGAUGUUGAUGUGAUACUGCGAGCA
rnacentral:rRNA from 1 species